rnacentral:rRNA from 1 species
CCUACGGGGGGCAGCAGUGAGGAAUAUUGGUCAAUGGGCGAGAGCCUGAACCAGCCAAGUCGCGUGAAGGAUGACGGCCCUACGGGUUGUAAACUUCUUUUGUCAGGGAGCAAUUGAGUCCACGUGUGGUCUUAGCGAGAGUACCUGAAGAAAAAGCAUCGGCUAAUUCCGUGCCAGCAGCCGCGGUAAUACGGAAGGUCCGGGCGUUAUCCGGAUUUAGUGGGUUUAAAGGGAGCGUAGGCCGGUCUUUAAGCGUUCCGUGAAAUUUUUUGGCUCAACCAUGGGAUUGCGGCGCGAACUGGAGACCUUGAGGGCGCGGAAGGCAGGCGGAAUUCGUGGUGUAGCGGUGAAAUGCUGAGAUAUCACGAAGAACCCCGAUUGCGAAGGCAGCCUGCCGCAGCGUUACUGACGCUGAAGCUCGAAAGCGCGGGUAUCGAACAGGAUUAGAUACCCGAGUAGUC